GUACACGCUGUGACUAGCAUAUCAAUAAGCGGAGGAAAAGAAACUAACAAGGAUUCCCCUAGUAACGGCGAGUGAAGCGGGAAGAGCUCAAAUUUGAAAUCUUAAAGGGUUUCCCUUUACGAAUUGUAGUUUAAAGAAGUGUUUUCUGUUGAGGUUUUGGUAAAAGUUCUUUGGAAUAGGACAUCAUAGAGGGUGAGAAUCCCGUAUUUGACCUUUACUUUCAACUUUGUGAUACACUUUCAAAGAGUCGGAUUGUUUGGGAAUGCAGUCCAAAGUGGGUGGUAAAUCUCAUCUAAAGCUAAAUAUUGGCGAGAGACCGAUAGCGAACAAGUACCGUGAGGGAAAGAUGAAAAGAACUUUGAAAAGAGAGUUAAACAGUACGUGAAAUUGUCAAAAGGGAAGCGUUUGACACCAGUGUUGUUUUUCUGAAAAUCAAUUAAAGAACUGUUUAUGCUAAGUUGUUUAGACUUUAUCAGCUAACUGUUUAGUUUUGAGCUUUUCUUUAAUGCACUUUUCAGUUAACAAGUCAACAUCAAUUUCUUUUGCUGUAGAAAAGCUUGAGGAAGGUGGCUUGAGAUUCGUCUUAAGUGUUUAUAGCCUCUUGCCUAUGCAGUCGGAGAGAUUGAGGUCUGCAGCGUAGAUCCUUCGGGGCUAAAUGCAUUUGUGCUAAGUUAUAGCAUUUUAUAGACAACUUGUUGACUAUGAUUUGUCUUGUAGCUUACUCGCUUAUGUUAUUUUACCUACGCUUAGGAUGUUGAAGAUGUAGCACAUCAU
rnacentral:rRNA from 1 species